rfam:Oryza sativa Japonica Group DNA, chromosome 7, cultivar: Nipponbare, complete sequence.
AAAAAGGUAAACCUUGGGUUUCCGUGUUCAACUUUGAUUGUCCGUCUUAUAUGAAAUUUUUUUAUAAUUCGUAUUUUCAUUGUUGUUAGAUGAUAAAACAUAAUUAAUAUUUUAUGUGUGACUUGUCUUUUUUAUUUUUUUAUAACUUUUUUAAAUAAAACAGACGGUCAAACAUUGUACACGAAAAAUUAAGGUUUGUCUUUUU